GAUGAACGCUAGCUACAGGCUUAACACAUGCAAGUCGAGGGGUAGCACGGAGGAAGCUUGCUUCCUUGGGUGACGACCGGCGCACGGGUGAGUAACGCGUAUCCGACCUACCCAUUACUCGGGCACAGCCGCUCGAAAGAGUGAUUGAUUCCCGAUAUGUCCUUGGAGUAGAUUCAAUGAUGAAAGAUUUAUCGGUAAUGGAUGGGGAUGCGUAAGAUUAGGUAGUAGGCGGGGUAACGGCCCACCUAGCCGACGAUCUUUAGGGGUUCUGAGAGGAAGGUCCCCCCACACUGGUACUGAGACACGGACCAGACUCCUACGGGAGGCAGCAGUGAGGAAUAUUGGUCAAUGGGCGGAAGCCUGAACCAGCCAAGUAGCGUGAAGGAUUACAGCCCUACGGGUUUUAAACUUCUUUUAUAUAAGAGUAAUGUGCACUACGUGUAGUGUACUGCAAGUAUUAUAUGAAUAAGCAUCGGCUAACUCCGUG
rnacentral:rRNA from 1 species